rnacentral:rRNA from 1 species
AUUAUCCUACGGGGGGCAGCAGUGGGGAAUAUUGGGCAAUGGGCGCAAGCCUGACCCAGCAACGCCGCGUGAAGGAAGAAGGCUUUCGGGUUGUAAACUUCUUUUAUGAGGGACGAAAGAAAUGACGGUACCUCAUGAAUAAGCCACGGCUAACUACGUGCCAGCAGCGGCGGUAAUACGUAGGUGGCAAGCGUUAUCCGGAUUUACUGGGAGUAAAGGGCGUGUAGGCGGGACUGCAAGUCAGAUGUGAAAAUUAUGGGCUCAACCCAUAACCUGCAUUUGAGACUGAAGUUCUUGAGGGAUGG